CUCCAUCAUGUGAAGCGGAUUUCAGACGGGGGAUCUCUACCCUGGCUGCCCAUUCAGAUCUCCUGGAGAGCUCUGAGGAAUCCUACACUGGGGCAACACUCCAGGCCAACUGGUUCGGACUCAUGGGGGCAGCACCUGUUGCAGGAUGAUGUAAAGCCCCCCGAGCACACCCAGUGUGGAGCCAGCGUUGAGAAUCAGGGGCUUAAAUCAGAAGGUCAAGCUCAGGAGUGAGACUGGCCUGCGCUGGAAUCCUGGCUCUGGAACUUCUAAGUGCAGCUCUACAUGAGCCUCUCAACUCGCCGCACAGUCCUGAGCUGUUCAUUCGUCUAAAAUCAGCAAGAACAACACAACCGCACAAGGAUGGGACGGAGAGUUCGCUGAGACAGCAGGUGGCAGAAGUGAAGGCCUUUGCCCUCACCAGGUCAGAGAUCUCAGAGGAAGCAGAAGCAAAGCUGACGCGCACAGAGCUGGUCCCCAGGGCUCCUCCUCUGGAGCUGUAAACAGGAAGUUGAAGGUACAUGCUUCAGGAACACCCUGUUGUUGUUGUUGUUUUUUUUU
ensembl:lncRNA